rnacentral:rRNA from 1 species
UACGUAGGGUGCGAGCGUUAAUCGGAAUCACUGGGCGUAAAGGGCGCGUAGGCGGCGCGGAAAGUCGUCGGUGAAAGCUCGGGGCUCAACCCUGAGUCUGCCGGUGAUACUCCCGCGCUCGAGCUCACUAGAGGCAGAUGGAAUUCCGGGUGUAGCGGUGGAAUGCGUAGAGAUCCGGAAGAACACCGGUGGCGAAGGCGGUCUGCUGGGGUGAGGCUGACGCUGAUGCGCGACAGCGUGGGGAGCAAACAGG